GAAUUCUCAGAACUCUUUUCUCAUUUUUUUUUCACUCUCAAAACUCUCUCCGUCUCUCUCCUUCCGUCUGCUCUCGAUUUUUCUUCAAUUCAUAGAGUUUUCAUAGAAAUCGCUAAUUUCAUUUGGAUGCAGGGUUGAUUUUUGAAAACAACUCGAAGAAGAAGAAGAAGGAGGUGAAGGAGGAGGAGGAAAUUUACUUCGAAUUAGUUCAAACUUGACCAGGUAGGUCUUGCUAAUUACUGGAUUUAAUGGCGGGAAAUCAACUGCGGAUAUUGGUGUACGCAAUGGAAUUAAUCCGUACUCAGUUGCGAACCCUUAGGUGACGGCGUUGCUCCAAUAAGUUUCAGAUGUCAGCAGCAGGGAACCUGUGAACAGAUGGCGGAAAGGGAGAUGACAUUGUAGAACUAGGAAAGUCUGUCUUGCUAUGUCUACUUGGAAUAUUUAUUUUUGCAUUUAAUGUUUGGAGAGGUGCAGUUAGCAAUAAUUACAUUGACUGGAGUUUUUAUGCAUUAUGAAUAUGUUUUCCACGAAAUGGUGUAAAAAUAAGGUCAUUCUGAUGUCGGCAAUGCAGACUGGCAAGGAAGUGGUGCAGGAGGAAGCUUUGACAUCUCUAGAAUCAGUGGCUGAUUAGUCACAGCUAAAGCUUAUGUUGGGUGUGCAAAGUAUGGGAAUUCCUGGAUAUGUUGAGUGAACUGUUUGCAGGUUGUUCGGUACACACAGCUUGAUUUCCCCCUGAAGCUGGACUAAGUUUGCUUUCCCGUGCUUAUGGUUGAUGACUGAGAUUUCCCCUUUUGGAACGGAAUUUGCAACUGGAAAUUGCAUUAUAAUUUAUAGUAGAACUUUUAUUCAUGUAAUGAGCUUUAUAUCAGUAUGUUUGGUCUUUAAAUUGAUAGACUCAGCAGACCCAGUACAGGUUGUUCACUAUAUACUUUGAUCUGAUGUAGUACUAAGACUCUGCAGAAAUGUGUAUUUGAUUCAGACAUGGAAUGAAUUGAAUUCAGACAUUGCUUCCUCUUUAUAUCA